AUUGAACGCUGGCGGCAUGCCUUACACAUGCAAGUCGAACGGCAGCACGGGAGCAAUCCUGGUGGCGAGUGGCGAACGGGUGAGUAAUAUAUCGGAACGUGCCCAGUCGUGGGGGAUAACGUAGCGAAAGCUACGCUAAUACCGCAUACGAUCUAUGGAUGAAAGCGGGGGAUCGCAAGACCUCGCGCGAUUGGAGCGGCCGAUAUCAGAUUAGGUAGUUGGUGGGGUAAAGGCUCACCAAGCCGCCGAUCUGUAGCUGGUCUGAGAGGACGACCAGCCACACUGGGACUGAGACACGGCCCAGACUCCUACGGGAGGCAGCAGUGGGGAAUUUUGGACAAUGGGCGCAAGCCUGAUCCAGCAAUGCCGCGUGCAGGAUGAAGGCCUUCGGGUUGUAAACUGCUCUUGUACGGAGCGAAAAGGCUUCCACUAAUACUGGGGGCUCAUGACGGUACCGUAAGAAUAAGCACCGGCUAACUACGUGCCAGCCGCCGCCGUAAUAC
rnacentral:rRNA from 1 species